rnacentral:rRNA from 1 species
CCACUGAUCUACGUGGUAUCGCCCUCCUUGCAGUUAGGCUAACUACUUCUGGUGCAACCCACUCCCAUGGUGUGACGGGCGGUGUGUACAAGGCCCGGGAACGUAUUCACCGCGACAUUCUGAUCCGCGAUUACUAGCGAUUCCGACUUCACGCAGUCGAGUUGCAGACUGCGAUCCGGACUACGAUCGGCUUUCUGGGAUUGGCUCCCCCUCGCGGGUUGGCAACCCUUUGUACCGACCAUUGUAUCACGUGUGAAGCCCUACCCAUAAGGGCCAUGAUGACUUGACGUCAUCCCCACCUUCCUCCGGUUUGUCACCGGCAGUCUCCUUAAAGUGCCCUUUCUUACCCACUAAUGACUAAGGUUGCGCUCUUUGCUCGAUUUAACCCUUCAUCUCACGACACAAGCUGACAACUGCCAUGCGCCACCUGUGUUCCGGUUCUCUUUUCACCAAUGCCCAAUCUCUUCUGUGUUCCAUACAUGUCAAGGGUAGGUAAGGUUUUUCUCUUUGCAUCUAAUUAAUCCACAUCACCCGCCCCUUGUGCGGGUCCCCCCCCAUUCAAUUCACUUGUAAUCUU